UCUCCUACGGGGGGCAGCAGUAGGGAAUCUUCCACAAUGGACGAAAGUCUGAUGGAGCAACGCCGCGUGAGUGAAGAAGGGUUUCGGCUCGUAAAGCUCUGUUGGUAGUGAAGAAAGAUAGAGGUAGUAACUGGCCUUUAUUUGACGGUAAUUACUUAGAAAGCCCCGGCUAACUACGUGCCAGCAGCCGCGGUAAUACGUAGGGGGCAAGCGUUGUCCGGAAUUAUUGGGCGUAAAGAGUACGUAGGCGGUCUGGUAAGCGCAAGGGGAAAGGCAUAGGCUCAACCAAUG
rnacentral:rRNA from 1 species